AGAUAUUGUCGUGGAGAAAUGAUGUCUGUUGGGUUUGCCCAAACAAUGGAAGACGAAUGGGGACCAAACCUUCAAGCUCCAAAAGGAACAUAAAGGGACAAAAAGACAUUUCAUCCCAAUGAAAAUAUCAUCUUUUGCAUCAUUGGAGUUUAAAUUUGAAUAAGGAUGUCUGCCACUCCUGCUGACCUUGAGAAAAUGCUUCCCUGUGUCUCCUUGUUUUAUCCUUCUUGAUACUUUAUUGGAAUAAAUCCGUAAAAGGGGACCAAAGCUGCACGGAGAAAAGAGGUGUGUAAAAUAACUGGGAAAACUGUGCAGAAAAGACUUUAACCAUCAGUCCAAAAGUAUCAAAUACUGAUAUUUAUUUUAUAAACUAUUUGUUUUGAUAUAAAAUAAUGGGCUAGUGUUCACUGAAACCUGACUUGAAAGUAUAUUUGUAUUUUAUGAACAGUUAAGGUAUGCAUGCAUGUAAUUAUGUAUGCCUGUUUUAAGGCAUAUUGUAAAAGUCUAUCUAGUGUUGUAUGAGAAUAAAUCUAAAAGUUUAUCUAGUGUUGUGUUGUUCUCUUUUUUUAUCCACAUAACAGAAAAUGCAGGGUAUAAUAUGUAUUUAAAAUUGAGAUGGGGAUGUGAGUAGUAACAACUACUAUGAUGAGCGUACAGUGAUGGCAAAGGCUCUAAAUGUAAUGGUGCGUUCAAGCCAUGUCGGAAAGAUCGUAUUUACGAGUUGCACAUGACCUCCACCACAUUGUCGUUAA